rnacentral:rRNA from 1 species
GGUGAAAUGCGUAGAGAUGUGGAGGAACACCAGUGGCGAAGGCGACUCUCUGGUCUGUAACUGACGCUGAGGCGCGAAAGCGUGGGGAGCGAACAGGAUUAGAUACCCUGGUAGUCCACGCCGUAAACGAUGAGUGCUAAGUGUUAGAGGGUUUCCGCCCUUUAGUGCUGCAGCAAACGCAUUAAGCACUCCGCCUGGGGAGUACGGUCGCAAGACUGAAACUCAAAGGAAUUGACGGGGGCCCGCACAAGCGGUGGAGCAUGUGGUUUAAUUGGAAGCAACGCGAAGAACCUUACCAGGUCUUGACAUCCUUCGCUACUUCUAGAGAUAGAAGGUUCCCCUUCGGGGGACGAAGUGACAGGUGGUGCAUGGUUGUCGUCAGCUCGUGUCGUGAGAUGUUGGGUUAAGUCCCGCAACGAGCGCAACCCUUGAUCUUAGUUGCCAGCAUUCAGUUGGGCACUCUAAGGUGACUGCCGGUGACAAACCGGAGGAAGGUGGGGAUGACGUCAAAUCAUCAUGCCCCUUAUGACCUGGGCUACACACGUGCUACAAUGGAUGGUACAAAGGGCUGCAAGACUGCGAAGUCAAGCCAAUCCCAUAAAACCAUUCUCAGUUCGGAUUGCAGGCUGCAACUCGCCUGCAUGAAGCCGGAAUCGCUAGUAAUCGCGGAUCAGCAUGCCGCGGUGAAUACGUUCCCGGGCCUUGUACACACCGCCCGUCACACCACGAGAGUUUGUAACACCCGAAGUCGGUGGGGUAACCGUAAGGA